UACAGAGGGUGCAAGCGUUAAUCGGAAUUACUGGGCGUAAAGCGUGCGUAGUCGGUUAUCUAAGUCGGGUGUGAAAUCCCCGGGCUCAACCUGGGAAUUGCAUUCGAUACUGGAUAGCUAGAGUUCGGCAGAGGGAAGCGGAAUUUCCGGUGUAGCGGUGAAAUGCGUAGAUAUCGGAAGGAACAUCAGUGGCGAAAGCGGCUUCCUGGACCAGAACUGACGAUCAGGCACGAAAGCGUGGGGAGCAAACAGGG
rnacentral:rRNA from 1 species